rnacentral:rRNA from 1 species
GCUUCCUCAAUCGAGUGGCGAACGGGUGAGUAACGCGGGAGGAACCUGCCUCAAAGAGGGGGACAACAGUUGGAAACGACUGCUAAUACCGCAUAAGCCCACGGCUCGGCAUCGAGCAGAGGGAAAAGGAGCAAUCCGCUUUGAGAUGGCCUCGCGUCCGAUUAGCUAGUUGGUGAGGUAAUGGCCCACCAAGGCGACGAUCGGUAGCCGGACUGAGAGGUUGAACGGCCACAUUGGGACUGAGACACGGCCAGACUCCUACGGGAGGCAGCAGUGGGGAAUAUUGCACAAUGGGGGAAACCCUGAUGCAGCGACGCCGCGUGGAGGAAGAAGGUCUUCGGAUUGUAAACUCCUGUUGUUGAGGAAGAUAAUGACGGUACUCAACAAGGAAGUGACGGCUAACUACGUGCCAGCAGCCGCGGUAAAACGUAGGUCACAAGCGUUGUCCGGAAUUACUGGGUGUAAAGGGAGCGCAGGCGGGCGAUCAAGUUGGAAGUGAAAUCCAUGGGCUCAACCCAUGAACUGCUUUCAAAACUGAUUGUCUUGAGUAGUGCAGAGGUAGGCGGAAUUCCCGGUGUAGCGGUGGAAUGCGUAGAUAUCGGGAGGAACACCAGUGGCGAAGGCGGCCUACUGGGCACCAACUGACGCUGAGGCUCGAAAGUGUGGGUAGCAAACAGGAUUAGAUACCCUGGUAGUCCACACCGUAAACGAUGAUUACUAGGUGUUGGAGGAUUGACCCCUUCAGUGCCGCAGUUAACACAAUAAGUAAUCCACCUGGGGAGUACGACCGCAAGGUUGAAACUCAAAGGAAUUGACGGGGGCCCGCACAAGCAGUGGAGUAUGUGGUUUAAUUCGACGCAACGCGAAGAACCUUACCAAGUCUUGACAUCCUGCGACGAUGCUAGAAAUAGUAUUUUCCUUCGGGACGCAGAGACAGGUGGUGCAUGGUUGUCGUCAGCUCGUGUCGUGAGAUGUUGGGUUAAGUCCCGCAACGAGCGCAACCCUUAUGGUCAGUUACUACGCGAGAGGACUCUGGCCAGACUGCCGUUGACAAAACGGAGGAAGGUGGGGAUGACGUCAAAUCAUCAUGCCCUUUAUGACUUGGGCUACACACGUACUACAAUGGCGUUAAACAAAGAGAAGCAAGACCGCGAGGUGGAGCAAAACUCAGAAACAACGUCCCAGUUCGGACUGCAGGCUGCAACUCGCCUGCACGAAGUCGGAAUUGCUAGUAAUCGUGGAUCAGCAUGCCACGGUGAAUACGUUCCCGGGCCUUGUACACACCGCCCGUCACACCAUGAGAGCCGGGGGGACCCGAAGUCGGUAGUCUAACCG